AUUGAACGCUGGCGGCAUGCCUUACACAUGCAAGUCGAACGGCAGCACGGGUGCUUGCACCUGGUGGCGAGUGGCGAACGGGUGAGUAAUACAUCGGAACAUGUCCUGUAGUGGGGGAUAGCCCGGCGAAAGCCGGAUUAAUACCGCAUACGAUCUACGGAUGAAAGCGGGGGACCUUCGGGCCUCGCGCUAUAGGGUUGGCCGAUGGCUGAUUAGCUAGUUGGUGGGGUAAAGGCCUACCAAGGCGACGAACAGUGGCUGGUCUGAGAGGACGACCAGCCACACUGGGACUGAGACACGGCCCAGACUCCUACGGGAGGCAGCAGUGGGGAAUUUUGGACAAUGGGCGAAAGCCUGAUCCAGCAAUGCCGCGUGUGUGAAGAAGGCCUUCGGGUUGUAAAGCACUUUUGUCCGGAAAGAAAUCCUUGGCCCUAAUACGGUCGGGGGAUGACGGUACCGGAAGAAUAAGCACCGGCUAACUACGUG
rnacentral:rRNA from 1 species